rnacentral:rRNA from 1 species
UACGUAGGGGGCAAGUGUUGUCCGGAUUUAUUGGGCGUAAAGAGCGUGUAGGCGGCCUGGCAGGUCCGUUGUGAAAACCCGAGGCUCAACCUCGGGACGUCGAUGGAAACCGCAAGGCUAGAGUCCGGAAGAGGAGAGUGGAAUUCCUGGUGUAGCGGUGAAAUGCGCAGAUAUCAGGAAGAACACCCGUGGCGAAGGCGGCUCUCUGGGACGGUACUGACGCUGAGACGCGAAAGCGUGGGGAGCGAACAGG